rnacentral:lncRNA from 1 species
UCUUAUUCUAGUAACUAAUCUUAUUACACAUGUUGAUGAAGCUGCAAAGGCAACUCAGUAAGGUGGUGGCGGGUAGUGACCAUAAGGUGGUGGCUUCUUGUGAAUUGGUGCCGGAGUUGGUGGCAACUUUGGUGGCUGGGGAACAUAAGGUGGCAACUUUGGUGGCUGGGGAACAUAAGGUGGUGGCGGGUAGUGACCAUAAGGUGGUGGCGGGUAGUGACCAUAAGGUGGUGGCUUGUGUGGCGGCUUGUGAGGUGGGUAGUGACCAUGAGGUGGCAGCUUGUGUGGCGGCUUGUGAGGUGGGUAGUGACCAUAAGGUGGUGGCUUCUUGUGAAUUGGUGGCAACUUUGGUGGCUGGGGAACAUAAGGUGGUGGCUUGUGUGGCGGUUGUGAGGUGGGUAGUGACCAUAAGGUGGUGGCUUCUGGUGAAUUGGUGGCGGAGUUGGUGGCUUAAUUGGUGGCCUGAUGAUAAUGGGAGGCAGCUUUGGUGGCUGGGGAACAUAAGGUGGCGGGUAGUGACCAUAAGGUGGUAGCUUGUGUGGCGGCUUGUGAGGUGGGUAGUGACCAUAAGGUGGUGGCUCCUUGUGAAUUGGUGGCGGAGUUGGUGGCAACUUUGGUGGCUGGGGAACAUAAGGUGGCGGCUCGUGAGGUGGGUAGUGGCCAUAAGGUGGUGGCUUCUUGUGAAUUGGUGGCAGCUUUGGUGGCUGGGGAACAUAAUGUGGCGGCUUGUGAGGUGGGUAGUGGCCAUAAGGUGGUAGCUCCUUGUGAAUUGGUGGCGGAGUUGGUGGCAACUUUGGUGGCUGGGGAACAUAGGGUGGCGGCUCGUGAGGUGGGUAGUGACCAUAAGGUGGUGGCUUCUUGUGAAUUGGUGGCAGCUUUGGUGGCUGGGGAACAUAAUGUGGCGGCUUGUGAGGUGGGUAGUGACCAUAAGGUGGUAGCUCCUUGUGAAUUGGUGGCGGAGUUGGUGGCAACUUUGGUGGCUGGGGAACAUAAGGUGGCGGCUCGUGAGGUGGGUAGUGGCCAUAAGGUGGUGGUUUAUGGUGAAUUGGUGGCUUGGGCUCGACCGGAGGCUUCACGACUGGAGGUGGAUAGUGGAUUGGCUCUGGAGGCUUCUUGUACGGUGGAGGAUGGUGAUGCUCAUAUGGGGGUGCUCCGGAAUAAUCAGCCAAAGAGGGAGUGGUGAGAAGCACCACCCCAAUCAAGAAUGCCCAGAAGCAUGCAAGAGAUGACAUGAUUGAGUUUGCAAUACUCGAUGCAAUUUGUGAUGGGAUUUGCAUGGCAUUUUAUACUGGAUUUUGGGCUACUAUUCAUAUGGCCAUAUCAACAUUCAAAUUAAAUGUGAUCGACUGUGUUAGCUGAAGAUCUGGCUCAUGUUUGAUGGACUUCAUUAACUUGGGGCCCUUUUGGUGGGAAAAGCUUGACAUUGAGGCAAAAAUGGGUCUGCAUGGAUGAAACUAAGAAAUGAUAGACAUUAUUAUUAUGGAUUAAUUAUAUUUACCUCCCCUGAGGUUUAACCAUAUUACCAAUCAAUCCCUGUAAUUUGUCCAAAUAACGGUCUCACCCUUUAAAUGAUCAAACAUUUAACAAAAACCCUCUUAAUGCCGAAAAUGCCCUUUUUGAAGCCAUAUUGCAUUAAAAAAAGAACAUAUAUUUUAUUUAUUAACCUUCAAGUAAUCCAAAAAAAUAGAAAAAAAUUUUUGCUUAUUAUUUUAUAAAAAUCAUAUCUUUGCCUCCAUAAAUAGUUUUGAAUCAAUAAUUAUUUUAAAUCUUAAAAAUUAGAUAAAUUGAAAGAAAAAUAAAAAAGAAGCAAUUAUUUUAAAUCCUCAAGUAUGGUUCGAAUUUGUGGUUCAAAGCAUGUUGCGGAGAGUACAAGGCAUGUUUUCCUCAAUUUGAACCAUACUUCAGGAAUUAAAAUAAUUUCUUCUUUUUUUAUUUUUCUUUCAAUUUAUCUAAUUUUUAAUAUUUAUUUUUAAGAUUUAAAAUAAUUAUUGAUUCAAAACUAUUUAUAGAAGCAAUGAUAUAGUUUUUAUAAAAUAAUAAGCAAAAACUUUUUUCUAUUUUUUUGGAUUGCUUCAGAGUUAAUAAAAUAAAAAUAUGUUCUUUUUUUUAAUGCAACAUGGCCUCAAUAAGGGCAUUUUCGGCAUUAAGGGGGUUUUUGUUAAAUGUUUGAUCAUUCAAAAGGUGAGACCGUUAUUUGAAUAAAUUAUAGGGAUUGAUUGGUAAUAUGGUCAAACCUCAGGGGAUGUAAAUGUAAUUAACCCUAUUAUUAUUGAUGUGGAAGUUUUGAUGCAGGAAUUUGGCCGAGUAAUUUUAGGGGAAAGCUACAUUAUAUCGGGGGAAAUCUACAUUAUAUCAGCACUUUAACUUUUGAAGAACGUCCGGAUUCAUUUUGCAUGGUAAAAAAAAAAACACGUUUUCAGCCGACAUUUGUAAAUUAUAAAUUGUCAAACAGACGUGUUGAAUUCGGCUAAGACGGUCCAAAUAAACCGACAAAGCUUGCCCUCAAAUCAGAGACAGUGCUAAUUUGUUCUUUUCCUCUGUGUUGUAGUCACUGUCACAACAGAUGGGGUCUUUCAUAUGAUUUUGUUUGAGUUACAUGCCUUGCACCUUGAUAUAGAGAUCCGGCGCAUUAAUUCCUGCUCUAACCAGCAUAAUUUAGCCACCGGUGAGAUAUGGAUAGCUGUUAUUAUAACCUAGCUAAAACAGUACUCUUUUAAGCUUGAAUUAUUGAGUCUUGCAAAAUAAAAUAAAAUAAGAGUGUUGAUAAGAUUAAAAAAAAAAAAAGGGCUGAUGAUAUUGCCACAUAUUUGACUUUAUUGUCAUAUCAAUUUCGAAUUAAAAUGAUUAUAUUAUCCCUCAUCAAUCAAGAAGAAGGGUUGAUUGAUGAUGUGAGAUUUUGCCCUUGUCUGGCCCAAAAAGGGGGGAAAAGAUGGAACACCUUAAUGUUUGUGUAUAUUUUACUUUGAGAAAGGAAUGCUUCAAUUAUUUUGGUUCCUUAUUUAUGUGUUCAUAAACACAUCACACCCCAAAAUAUUGGGUGAGCAACAAUUCGGUUAAUUAAAUUUCCGUCCGAAUUGAAUCGGAUUCAGUUUAUCGAUUUCGGUUAAUACGAUUCUAAUUUGGUUCUCAGUGGCGGUUUCAAAACUUUGAUCUCAAUUUAACCAAUUAACCAAAUUCAAUUUCUUUUAAAUCACAUGUAUUAUUUAUUCUUAUGCUUAAACUUGAUUGACCAAUUAACUGAUUGAUUCUUACUUCUACCCAAAGUAAUGGCUCACAAAUUAUGCGGUUUUUUGGAAUACGGCAUAAAUUUAGGAUCAGUCUUUCUUACAUGAACAUUUACAUUAGGGAUAAUUUUAGAAACUUCCCCUGAGAUUUUCGAUAAUUUCACUUGACUCUCUUGAGGUUUACAUAAUUACGGAGACCUCCUUUGGUGUGAUAAAAAGACAACAAUACCCUUCAUUAAUUGUCAACUCAUUGAAAAAUUCUAUCAAAUAUUAAAUCUCUUUCAUCUAUUAUCAAUCAAUAAUUCAAACUACAGUCUUUCCCAUUUAACUAUCUAACUUCUUCCUCCUAUAUUUAUUUUCCUUUCAAACUCAUUUAUUUAUUAUUAUCAACAAAAUGUGCACUGUGGCCACUAAUAAAAUUAUCAUACACACCAAACCACCA